rnacentral:rRNA from 1 species
GUCUACGGCCAUACCACCCUGAAUGCGCCCGAUCUCGUCUGAUCUCGGAAGCUAAGCAGGGUCGGGCCUGGUUAGUACUUGGAUGGAAAACCCACACCCUGCAGAAGGUGGCCUUAAGGA